rnacentral:snoRNA from 1 species
UUGCCCUCUUAAGUCUGGGAGUGUCUUAAGUGGCCAACACGGAGGGGUAUAAAAGUUCUCUCUCAAACCCAGAGGUGAGGCUAAAACUCUUCUUUGGAUCACACUGAGAGGAACAUGU